AUCUGUGCCGAGUACUCUUGAUGUGCCGGCAGAACUCAUGACUGUGCUCAAGCAAAAGCACUCGACGUAGUGACCGUAGUAAUCUAUUACAUAAUGUAAUAUAUAUACUACUAUUUUGUUGGGGUGACAGAAUAACAGAUAAACUUAUUUUAAUAUAUUAGGAAUUUUAUAUAAUGAAAAACAAAAUUACUCUAGGGAUAACAGCAUAAUUAUUUAAUAGUUUGUGACCUCGAUGUUGGACUAAGGAAUAUUUUAUUUAGAAGAUAAAGUAGCGUGCUCUGUUCGAGCAAUUAAUCCUUACAUGAUCUGAGUUCA
rnacentral:rRNA from 1 species